rnacentral:sRNA from 1 species
AAUAGGGAGGGCAAGGAGUGC